ACCUGCACAUUUAGUUUUGGUGGUUUUGACGCUGUGCGAAUGGCUGAGGCCGUCUCUGCGAUGCACUUUCAGCGCGUAGACUGUCGUUUUGUACGUUGGUGGUAACGACGUUUGCAGUGCCAACGCGGACCCUCAAGAUAUAUGCGACAAUAUAGGGAAGUUAGUUCUGCAACUGCAGCACGAUGUGGCCCCCGUGGUGUAUACGUCUUCAAAGUGCUGCCACGUUGCUGCAGCUCUGAAGACGCCGAUGCGGAGCGCCAGAUCAAGAAAACGCGCUUGCUGAACCGCAAGCUGACGGCUACGCUGAAACGCCUGCCGUGUGUUCGAAUCUUGAACGCCGAGCAUGUUGGUCUUCAUUCGAGAGCUGUCUCACCUUUGGAUGUACAGAGGCAUCCACUUCCACCUUGAGCACCGCACCGUGCAGCCAACGCUCCGCGGAGCGUCUCUUGCUGGCGGC